GUUGAAGGAAAAAGAAAACACAAAAAAGGAAAAGUCAAGAGAAGCUUUUGCUUCUGCAGAGAGAAAGAGAAGAGAAAGGGAGAAAAGUUAAAAAAGGCAAAAAGGGAGAAAAGUGAAAAAGAGAGCAGAAGGGAAAGAAGGUGAUUGGACAUUUACUGUUCAUCACCCUCUUCCCUCUGCUGGUUCCGUCUCGGCCCUCCUCCUGCCGGCUCCGAUUUUUACUCCUCUCCACUGCGACGACCAGCUCCGUUUCUGCUUCAAUCCGGAGACGCUUGAGUUCAACACCGGAACCCGAAGGAAAGCCCUCUGAUCCGGCGGCCCGUGUUGCACUGACGCCGCCGGACGAGCCGAUGCCCCUGCAGCACCUCCGUUGCAGCCCGACGACCGCGCCUCUACAACCCGCAGCCUAGCCAAUUCCGAGCAGACCCGCACCCGACGCCGUCCGCCGCUCGUGUCCUCCCCUCGCGACGCCGGACUCGCACCCGAAGCCCCGCCAACGACCCAGCGACGCCGGAGCCCCUCUGCAGAUCCCACGACGGCCCCGCUUCCGAUCAGCGCCUGCACCUGAAGUUUCCCCGCGCUGCUCUGCCCCGUGAUGCUGUAGCACCUCUGUUCGUGACCACCCCCUGCGACGCCAGCAGAUCCAGUGCCCACCGUCGCGCCACCUCUGUUCCGCCGACGAAACCGCUCCUGUACUGAUUCGAGCCACCGCCGAUUCACCUCUUCACCGCUCGCCCACCGCCGGUUCACCUUCGUCGGAGCCCCCUGCUGGUCCGACGACGUGCUGCUCCCCAGUGACCCAGAGACUCACGAGCACGUGACUAGAAGAAAAAAGAAAAACAAAAACAAAAACAAAAGAAAAAGAGAAAAG
rnacentral:lncRNA from 1 species